CCUACGGGAGGCAGCAGUGGGGAAUAUUGCACAAUGGCCGGAACGCUGAUGCAGCGAAGCCGCGUGAGUGAAGAAGUAUUUCAGUAUGUAAAGCUCUAUCAGCCGGGAAGAAAAUGACGGUACCUGACUAAGAAGCACCGGCUAACUACGGGGCAGCAGCCGCGGGAAUACGGAGGGAGCAGGUGUUAUCCGGAUUUACUGGGGGUAAAGGGAGCGUAGACGGCCAGACAAGUCAGAAGUGAAAGCCCAGGGCCUAAACCUGGGACUGUUUUUGAAACUGCCGGGCUUGAGUGCAGGAGAGGUAAGCGGAAUGCCCAGUGUAGCGGUGAAAUGCGUAGAUAUUAGGCGGAACACCAGUGGCGAAGGCGGCUUACUGGACUGGAACUGACGUUGAGGCACGAAAGCGUGGGGAGCAAACAGGAUUAGAUACCCUAGUAGUC
rnacentral:rRNA from 1 species